AUUGAACGCUGGCGGCGUGCUUAACACAUGCAAGUCGAGCGGUAACAGGCGUAGCAAUACGUGCUGACGAGCGGCGAACGGGUGCGUAAUACAUGGGAAUCUGCCUAGUAGUGGGGAAUAACCCGGCGAAAGCCGGGCUAAUGCCGCAUACGAUCCACGGAUGAAAGCGGGGGACCUUCGGGCCUCGCGCUAUUGGAUGAGCCCAUGUCGGAUUAGCUAGUUGGGAGGUAACGGCUCACCAAGGCGACGAUCCGUAGCUGGUCUGAGAGGACGGCCAGCCACACUGGGACUGAGACACGGCCCAGACUCCUACGGGAGGCAGCAGUGGGGAAUUUUUCGCAAUGGGGGAAACCCUGACGAAGCAACGCCGCGUGGAGGAUGAAGGCCUCGGUC
rnacentral:rRNA from 1 species